UUAAUUUCCGAAUUUACAGAUGCAUUUUAAUGACAAGAGUUAGAGAGGACGAAAAAUGACUUUGCAGACAUUCGUGUAGCCUUUUUGUUAAUGGCUUUCAGCAUAUUGAUGCAGGUAAAACCUACUUCAUUCUUUCCCUGAAUGCAAGAAGAUCAUCGGGAGGGUUGCAGCAUCACAAAUCCCAGACAAAUGCCCUUUUUUUUGGGAUAUGAGAAACUUUAGAAUUUUACGGAUUGUGGUUGAAAUGUAUAACAUACUGUACAUAGUUUGUAAUAUUUGUUACUAUCCAGCCUACCUAGUUUUGUUCUACAAUCUCAUUAUGUAUGAUUUGGAAGUAUUGUGUA